AAUGAACGUUUAUAUGUGUGUAUGUGUGUGUAUACACACACAUACACACAUAUAAACGUUCAUUCU
rnacentral:miRNA from 1 species